ensembl:rRNA 5S_rRNA 5S ribosomal RNA
GUCUAUGGCCAUACCGCCCUGAAUGUUCCCUGUCUCUUCUGAUCGUGUGAAACUAAGCAGGGUCAGGCUUGGUUAGUACUUGGAUGGGAGAUUAUGGCAAAGCUGAGCCAAGAUU